UUCCGGUUGAUCCUGCCAGACCUGACUGCUAUCGGAUUGAUACUAAGCCAUGCGAGUCAUUGUAGCAAUACAAGGCAUACGGCUCAGUAACGCGUAGUCAACCUAACCUAUGGACGGGAAUAACCUCGGGAAACUGAGAAUAAUGCCCGAUAGAACAUUAUACCUGGAAUGGUUUAUGUUCCAAAUGAUUUAUCGCCGUAGGAUGGGACUGCGGCCUAUCAGUUUGUUGGUGAGGUAAUGGCCCACCAAGACUAUUACAGGUACGGGCUCUGAGAGGAGUAGCCCGGAGAUGGGUACUGAGACACGGACCCAGGCCCUAUGGGGCGCAGCAGGCGAGAAAACUUUGCAAUGUGCGAAAGCACGACAAGGUUAAUCCGAGUGAUUUCUGCUAAAGAAAUCUUUUGUUAGUCCUAGAAACACUAACGAAUAAGGGGUGGGCAAGUUCUGGUGUCAGCCGCCGCGGUAAAACCAGCACCUCAAGUGGUCAGGAUGAUUAUUGGGCCUAAAGCAUCCGUAGCCGGCUCUGUAAGUUUUCGGUUAAAUCUGUACGCUUAACGUACAGGCCGCCGGGAAUACUGCAAAGCUAGGGAGUGGGAGAAGUAGACGGUACUCGGUAGGAAGUGGUAAAAUGCUUUGAUCUAUCGAUGACCACCUGUGGCGAAGGCGGUCUACUAGAACACGUCCGACGGUGAGGGAUGAAAGCUGGGGGAGCAAACCGGAUUAGAUACCCGGGUAGUCCCAGCUGUAAACUAUGCAAACUCAGUGAUGCAUUGGCUUGUGGCCAAUGCAGUGCUGCAGGGAAGCCGUUAAGUUUGCCGCCUGGGAAGUACGUACGCAAGUAUGAAACUUAAAGGAAUUGGCGGGGGAGCACCACAAGGGGUGAAGCCUGCGGUUCAAUUGGAGUCAACGCCGGG
rnacentral:rRNA from 1 species